rnacentral:rRNA from 1 species
ACUCAGUAGCGGCGAGUGAGCGGCAGAGCUCAGAUUUGAAAUCUCACCUAGUGUGCGAGUUGUAAAUUGCAGGUUGGAGUCUCGGGUUAGACGUGUGUGCAAGUCCCUUGGAACAGGGUGCCACUGAGGGUGAGAGCCCCGUAGCGUGCAUGUCGACACCUGUGAGGCCCUUCUGACGAGUCGAGUUGUUUGGGAAUGCAGCUCUAAGUGGGUGGUAAAUUCCAUCUAAGGCUAAAUAUUGGCGAGAGACCGAUAGCGAACAAGUACUGUGAAGGAAAGAUGAAAAGCACUUUGAAAAGAGAGUGAAACAGCACGUGAAAUUGUUGAAAGGGAAGGGUAUUGGGCUCGACAUGGGAUUUACGCAUCGUUGCCUCUCGUGGGCGGCGCUCUGGGUUUUUCCUGGGCCAGCAUCGGUUUUCGUUGCAGGAUAAGGACAAUUGGAAUGUGGCUCCUCGGAGUGUUAUAGCCUUUUGUAGAUGCUGCGUAUGGGGACCGAGGGCUGCGGCGGACUCGUUUCGUCUCGGAUGCUGGCACAACGGCGCAAUACCGCCCGUCUUGACCCCCGGGACCA